UUUGCUCAUUAGUUUCUACAAUUUUUCUAUAGAUAUCUUAGUGAUCAUUAGUUAAUUGAAGCAACAUACGCUAUUACGGUCGUAUAAUGUAUAUUCAUGUAAAUUGCUUGAUUACCAUAUUCAUUUGCUUAAUUUGUUGUAUUUAUGCAUUUAAUUAGUAUUCAUCUUAAUUAUUGUAUUCGAGUUCAUCAACAAAAUGAUGUACGGUAGAUUACCACGUACCGAUCAUACCGUACCAAAACUAACGGUAUACCGAAUAACGGUAUACCGCAAUUGUUGGUACGGUAACGGUAUAGAAUUUUUCAAUACCGAAAGAUACGGUAGGUACACGGUAUUGAACAAAAUGUUUGGUAACCGUACCGAAACC
rnacentral:lncRNA from 1 species